CUAUGGUGGAGAGUCGACUAGGGUGGAGGAGUGAGCGGGAGGUUCCUACAGCAAAACCCCACCCACUUGCCCAAGGUCAAGGGGAGUCAACCUGCGGGGAUAAAGACUUGCCGGCGCCCCCUGGCGGACUUAGAAGAUACCCUCACUGGUCCAGUCUUGCAGAAGCUAUUGAUUCAAGAGCCAAGUGGGGAAGGCAGACAAGGAGGUUAGACAGGAACUCAGCUGAGGACUCCUCUUGGCCCCUUGGACUGCCCGCUCCAACCCGACCUGGCUUCAUGCAGCGCGACCUAGGUGGGCGCCUAGGGUGACUGGCGAAGGAAGGGCCCUCCACCACCCGGCCUGGAGGAAAGUUAAACCCUGCCCGGGGUUCUCUCACUCAAUCCCGCCCGCCGUCCUCCGUCUCUAGCUAACGCUCCUAGCUCAGCCCUGCCGGACACUGGCACCAGCUCUGAUCCAGCUGGUCGCAGAGCCGCAGCAGAGGGACAGCAGGACGGACGGACAGACCGCCCGGGCCCCCGCCAGCAGCCUGACUUGUUGAAUAAAUUUCUGCAGCGCUGGUUGAGCCGGCUUUGGGUUUCAGUAUUGGCACCAAGAGAACUUUCGUGGCCUUGGAGAGGGGCCCCGGUCAAAGUUCCCUGUCCUUCCAACGCAGGGCCCCCACCCCACCCCCCAAGCAAGGGAUGUGACGCCCACCUGAUGGGUACGCGCGGGCGGGUGAGGGGGAUCAGUCCCCAGAAAUAAUAAAUAAAUAAAUAAACAAACAAAAA